CCUACGGGGGGCAGCAGUGAGGAAUAUUGGUCAAUGGGCGCAAGCCUGAACCAGCCAUCCCGCGUGCAGGAAGACGGCCCUAUGGGUUGUAAACUGCUUUUCCAGGGAGAGAAACUUACGCACGUGUUGCGUGACUGACGGUACCCUGGGAAUAAGCAUCGGCUAACUCCGUGCCAGCAGCCGCGGUAAUACGGAGGAUGCAAGCGUUAUCCGGAUUCAUUGGGUUUAAAGGGUGCGUAGGCGGGCUAUUAAGUCAGUGGUGAAAUCCUGCAGCUUAACUGCAGAACUGCCGUUGAUACUGAUAGUCUUGAGUUUGGUUAAGGUAGGCGGAAUGUGUAAUGUAGCGGUGAAAUGCUUAGAUAUUACACAGAACACCAAUUGCGUAGGCAGCUUACUGAGCCGACACUGACGCUGAGGCACGAAAGCGUGGGGAUCAAACAGGAUUAGAUACCCUAGUAGUC
rnacentral:rRNA from 1 species